rnacentral:rRNA from 1 species
GAUUAGAUACCCCGGUAGUCCAGGGUGUAAACGCUGCUCGCUUGAUGUUAGUCGGGCUCCGAGCCCAACUAGUGUCGGAGAGAAGUUGUUAAGCGAGCUGCCUGGGGAGUACGGUCGUAAGACUGAAACUUAAAGGAAUUGGCGGGGGAGCAC